AAGAAUUAUAUUUGUUAAGUGAUGGGAUGAACGUGUACAGUGAAACAAGCAAAGUAUGUUUGAUUAGAGUUAUUUUAAGUUGUACGUACUUUCAUAUAGCCUGUCCUCUAGAUCAUCAGUUGCCCAGGAACAUGGAGUCCUUGGGGUAGCAGACCAGUGCUGCUGUUUAUCAUCCUCAUCAGCAACUUCUUCAUCUACUCUCUGUGAAUUGCCUUGCUGUGGGUCCUGGUGCUCUUUCUCAUUACCUGGGGAGAGGAAUAACAGUGUGAAUACAGACCAGUGCUGCUGUUCAUCAUCCUCAUCAGCAACUUCUUCAUCUACUCUCUGUGAAUUGCCUUGCUGUGGGUCCUGGUGCUCUUUCUCAUUACCUGGGGAGAGGAAUAACAGUGUGAAUACAGAUUCACCUUAGCUGUCCCAGCAUCUUCUCCAGUACUGCUGUCCUGUUGUCGAUCAGUGGCGUUACCAUGACUGUCAUCAUCUCCAGUUCCUGCUGACAAGAUUAGUCAUUAGUCGUGACAACUACUUUCGAGGGGAGUUGAUGGUUACCAGCAUCUGAACCAAGUCUCCGGAAGUCCGCUCCAUGCGUAUGUUCAAAUGUGCCGCGCAGAGUGACGUCUGCGGAUGUGCGGCCAUUUUGAAAACGACGUCCCUAGCGAGUGAGAUUCACUGGGUUAUCUCCAUGUGACAGUCUAAGAAGAAUACUGUGGUGGCUGCACUUCAUAACCAGAAUGAAACCUUUUGCUGUAAUACUGAAAAAUAAAGGCACCCCUUGGAUUCCGCCUUUUCUCCAGGUUCAAAGGUUCAUGAACACUGGAUUUAUUUUGAGUAAACUUUUGCAGUUUAUUAAACUUCAGAUUUAAAAGCACCCUUCUGCAAGAAGUAACACAAUUAUGUAGUCAUGGAUAUUGAAAACAAAGGUUUUCAUACCUUCAAGAAAUUGUAAUGCAGGAGGUUGCUUUUUGUGAUUUUUAGUGAAGUAAGGUCCUCUUCACUUUGUUUCUCAAAGUUCUUUGACGCCAGGAUCUACCUUAAGUGAUAUCAAUUAUUAUGGUGGAGUUGCAAGGUAUUAUUAUUAAAUCUUCUCUACCUGAAGUCGUUCCUGACUGGAGUGUGCACUGGAGAAACCAGUUGGAGGAAGGCGCUCUCGGAUGUGAAUUCAAACCAGGCCACAUGUGUGGUUUUCUUGUUCGAUCACCACUACACACACUAACUCAGAUGUACUCGUGACUUCAAGUUGUCCGCAAUCUUGGAUGACUGGAGUUCCCUUGAAAGGAGAGGCAGCUAGUUGUAUUCUGUCCAGAGGCUCUAAGGCUUCACAUGUCAACAAGGGUACUACUCCAUGCUUCCCUUCGUCUGCUAUGGUGCUCGUGACUUGAAGUUGUCUGCGAUCUUGAAUAACCUGCAUUUCUCUUGGAAAAAAUGACUGUUGAUUGAAUUCUGGCCACAGUCAGACUGGAAGAAUACUGCUUCUGUACUGGGCCCACUACAUUACCAGAGUGAAACCCUUUUGCUCAAGGAGUGAAAUAUUUUGGCAACACUUAGAUCUUGCUUUUAUAGGCACGUGUCCUGAAGUUGUCUGCAAUUUUAAAUGACUUUGGUUUCCCUGAAAGGAGAAACGGCUGAUUGUAUUCUGGCCAGAGGCUCAAAGGCCUCACACAUGAACAAGGUUACUCUAUGCUUCCUUUCGUCUGCAAUGGCUCGUGACUUCAAGUUGUAUACGAUUUUGAGUGAUUUCUAUUUCUCUUGAAGAAAAGACGGUUGAUCGACUGUGUCUUUUUUAUUAUUCUUUUUUCUUCUCCCAAAUGCCUGAAAAGGGUCCUCAGCUGUAGUUAAAAGUUGCAAGAAGUUUCUGGUGCAAACUAUCUUGUGAUUAAGAAGGCUACAGAAUUUCCAAUGUGUGAUCUUUUUUUAGCCUCCAAAUCAGCCUGUUGCCUGUUGUACUCAUUCUCUCUAGCUGGGAUAGCUUAAACUACACAUGCCGAGUUCUGAUUAAAGCAUCUCCGGUUGUGCUGACCUGAACCACUAAAGGUCUGUGGAGUUCCUAACAGCAUCGAUGAAUAUGUUGAUGGUUUCCUCUUUGCUUUGACUAUUAAAGGGAUACAGCAGCAUGGAAGCACGUAAGCACUUAGAGCACACUGGUCAUUGGCGAUAAAGGAGCGUCAAGCAAGCAUGCAAAUCUGCCACUGACAGAUGUAUUGCGCAGCAUUGGUGGUAGGACAGCGGACAGCAGUGCAGCUAGAGAGAGAUAGAAAAUCAUGCACUUUCCAAAACCUGCAACAAGCCUCAGAAGAAGCAUCCAAGUAAAGAUCAGUACUAUAUUAGUUGGGAAAAAUUACAUUUUGCCUGUUCGGUACAAAUCAGUAAUUUAUGUCUGUGUGUGUGUUUUGUUAAAAUAAAGGUAUUAUAUUUGUGUUGGUUUUUUGCUAGCAGUGCUGUUGCUAGCAUGAUCAUUGUUGAGGGAAUGCAGGAAGACUUGACUAUUUUGUUCCUAAUAUGACCUAUACACCUUUUACAUUCAUGGGGUAGUUUUGUUACUCUGAUCACUGAGUGACUUUUGAGGGAUAGGAUGGAAGAUAGAUUAAAUAUCUUAUGCGAUUGGCCAUGGCCGGGUCUCUUAGCUUUAGCAUGCAGUACUAUCACCGUUUGUUCUGACCCUCUCCAACCUUCCUCUUAUCACACCUAGGACGAAAUGUCAAAGGAUCAAUUGUGGUCGAGCCUCACAAGUUCAAGGGGGUGUUAACUGGUUGCCACAAGCGCAAACAUUGAAGUCUGCGGAAUUUGGCGGCGCCGGUUCAGCACUCAGGUUGGUCAUGGUGCGAUUGCAGCGCACUCUAUAGGCGGCUUUCGAGCCAGCGCCCCUGUCAUGCGGAGGGUAUGCAACCUUGUGACAGGCCCGCUCACCGGGUUGCCUAUCGUCUCCUCCGCAGGCGCGCUAGCGUAGUGUCCUGCUGUAUGAACGAGAAGACAUUGAGAUUUGAGACACACUCGAACUCUUCUCCCCUCUUACCGAUAUUGCCUUUUUUAUGCUUCCGCGAAUCUAAAAAUGUACUCAGCACAUUCUAAUGUCAAUAAAGUUACAAAAAUUCUA